AGUGGAUAACCGCGCGGGCCAGCCCACCCAUCCCCAUCUUUCUCCUGGCGGCGCACGACGAACAGAGGGCUCUGUUCUUCGCCCCUUCUCUCCCUCCCACCACCACCCCCCUUGAUCUACUCCAUCAACCCCUCAAACUCACAGAUCGGACCCCCCCAAGCUUCUUUGAGGAUGGCGGAUGGUGAUGGACCUUGGUAUGACGGAUUAAUCGAUGAGUGGGAUAAGGAGCAUCGUGCUCGUGCCAUUGAAAAUGGACAGGUUGUAGUUGCUAUGCGCAUGAGGGGUCAUUCCGCUGAUGACUUUGAUUACGACCCGCGGUAUGAGCCUUACAUUCGGAGAUUGGGUCUUCUCCCAUUCGUGUUGCAGUUUAAGCGACGCGCUCCGCCGGUGAACCACGCGGCGCUGACCGCACUUGUGGAUCGUUGGAGGCCGGAGACUCACUCCUUCCACCUUCCAUGUGGGGAGAUGACGAUGACCCUAUAGGACAUGGCUAUG